rnacentral:sRNA from 1 species
GCCUGGUGUGGUGGUGCAUACCUGUAAUCCCAGCAGCUAUGGAGACUGAGGCAGGAGGAUUGCAAUUUCAAAGCCAGCUUUAGCAAAAGCGAGGUGCUAAGCAACUCAGCGAGAUCCUGUCUCCA